rnacentral:misc_RNA from 1 species
GAGGAGGCUCAUUUGCUAAUAGGCUAAAAGGAGACAAGCACAGUAACCAUAGUCAGAAAGGCUCAUGACUAAUUACAACAGCUCUGUUAUUAGCUAUUAAGUUAUCAGUAAUAAGGGGAAAACAAUCAAUAUGAAAGGAGACAGGGACUAAAAAGAGGUAUAAGAAAACCUGCAUAAAACCUUCCAAAUCCCAACUUUUCAUUCGUCUCCUUUUGUGGAAUCUGCUGUCUUGGUUUCAUUAUUAUGUACAACCUGAGCAGGCAAAUCAUCCUUAGUGUUAUCAGAACCCCCAGGCAGCUGCUCUCCGGAGUUUAGGCCAGCUUCCAGCGCCUCAUAUUGGGAGAUGACCUGUUGAAGCUCAUCGUGGAGAUUAAGUGCUUCAAAUAGCAUAGCCUCAUCAUCAGUGGUGGUUUCUAUGAUCCUUUGUAUGACAAUCUGUGAUUGCUUGCACUUCUCCAAUAAGCUCACUGUCAGAUCCUCCUGCAGCCACACCAUAAGGGAACCUUUCAUUGUUACAGUCAUGUAUCCUCAUGCUCCUCUCUCUCUUUCUCUAUCUAAUGAAGACACUUUCCACUCAUCUACAAAUUUGACAAUGUAGAUGAAAGACCAUAAACCAGUGAGAUCCAAGAAAAAAAAAGAGUGCUUGCCAAGUCAUUCAUGACCAUUUGUUCCAAUUCAAAACAUGGUCAUCAUAUUAAAAAUGCAAGUAUUCCCAUUAUAACAAUACAAGAAUUGAAAAUAAGAGUUUUAUGUCUUGGCUUCCCCUAGUAAAACCAUUUCUCUAAACUCUACUCUUAUUGGAACUCAUUAAUAUUGUAAAGUUUGAAAAGUUUUCUUUUAAAAAGAUAGUCAUCUAUUCUGAGUCCCAUCAUUCAUAAGACACAAAAAGUAACCUAAAAGCAGGUAUAGAUUUGGAAAAGAAAACGAAGGACCCCUUAAGAAAGCUACAAAUUAUGUACAAAAGUGAUGGAGAAUGAGAUGAUCUAAAGAAACAGUGAUGUGUAUAGAUCAAUAGUUAAUAUAAAUAGCAAUUUUCUCAUUGAUGAACACCGAGAAAAUAAAUUACCUUAAUGGGUUUUGGUUCAGUAUCAGCAUUCAAAAUGCUAGACAGAAGUUCAAAGCUGUUCCGAGUUGUUACAAGACAUUCAUUCUUUUCUUCAACUGAUAGGGUCCGACUGUUAUCUCCCAAUGUAGCAUGGUUUUCAUCAUCAAAUCCUGAGUCAGGAAUAGGAUAUCUUUCAGGAGGAGACAGUGGUUGCUGAUGAACAAAUGAUUCCAAGGAAUAAUGCAUGGGGGGUGAAUCCCCAUCUUCAACUGACCGAGGCACACUUCUUCCUUGCAAACUCUGCCAUGAUUGCAAAACAAGGUUAACAAGAAGGGGCCAGUUAAUUGAGGCAUUAGUGUCUCUUAAAGAAUUUAUAUGAACAGAUCACAAUUAGCGGAUCAUAAGAGAUGUAGAAAUGGGGGAGGACAGAAACGUCAUCUAUGCUGUGAUCAAAAGAUCUCAAGGGAUAAAUGGGUAUAUUUUAGUUGAUGGAAAUUGCAAAACACGAUACAAAGAGAGACAAUAAUAUUUCUACUCCCCUCCAUCUUUAAACCUUCUUCACCAAGGGUAGCGGAGAAAAGGUAGAUAAGUUCACUAUUCAAAGUGGCCAGUGAAGGAACCAGUAUAUGACUCAAUGAGGAAGUUCAAAGCGGCCAGUGAAGGAACCAGUGUAUGACUCAAUGAGGAAGGAUCAUCAAAUGUGCUUCUUUGAGGUCUUUUUUAAAAAAAGAAUCAGUGAGGUGAGCGCUGAGUUCAUACUUCAUAGCUUUAUGCCUCACACUAGAAGUCUAUAGAUACAAGGAAGAAAUAACAGUUGCAGAAGUUGAAGCACCUUCUAAUAGUUGUCAUUCAAAAACUACAGCUCAUAAGCCUUCUGAUUUUGUAAAACAGAGCUGCAAUUGAAUGAUGGAUCUGCAGUCCUAUACGUUGAUCCAUUUGCAAGAUUUGUGCAUAUCGCAUAAAAUAUGCAAAAAGCUCAUGGGUUUUAGGUUUUGUGCCAAAUUUGUAGACAGUCAAGCCAGUGUAAGCCUACCCAAUAUCCAAGCUACACGCAUACAAAAACCAAUAGCAUACAAAUCCUUGAUUAAUUCAAAAGCAUCUGAACUUCUGAAUUAUCUAAUUUCCAGCAAAAAAUAAUAGCAUAUUCCAGAGCAAAGGCAGCAACUGUAUAAAAGAGAGAGCUUACCACAUAUGUUUGGUGAAAGACAGGCAAAUACUCGAGAUCUUCAGACUGUCCCCAAGCUCUAAUCAAUUGCAAAGCUCUAUCUCUAUUUCCUUGAUCUGUUUGUGGAUUCUCAAUCAUCUUAACCAUCUCAUCCAAUACCUUCUCAGAUGCCACCUCAGAGAAUACCUUCUCACAAUUCAGAGUACAUGCCUCCAGCAAGUCAAGACUCAGCCUCUGGCUCACCGAAUUCUUACCUGAAAUCUUCUUUUUUAUGGCCCGAACAAUCUCAGUCCCACUAAACUGUUCACAAUUGAUCAUUGCACAUAUCCUCAAAUUCAUACCCCAGUUCGGCUCAUUCAUCGUUUCCAUUGUGGCCUCGUCAACCAUCUUAGAUUCAGGUGUAGGAGUUUGCAGCAUUUCCUUCACCUUAUCACUUACAAGACGACUCAUUUGAGCCCCACCUGUCUUCAGCCGUUCCCCCCAUUGAGAUAGUUUCAACUUGUCCAUUUGUUAAUUAUGUCCAAAACGAAAACUUCAAAGCAAUAGCAAACCCUAAUUCAACAGUAAACAAACUCAGAUUAGCUUCCAGCAAUUCAAACUAUUGAAACUACAUAACAAAUUUGAAUACACCAUCUACAAAUCAACUUGACACAGGACUGUCUUGCGGCAGAGAAAAAUGGUAGCAGUGAGAGAGGUAGAUAUCAUUUUCUCUUUGAUUUUCCGGGAAAAUCCAAUCAGCGGUAGAUACACAUUGUCCACAAUCAUUUGUGAGAGGAAAUUCAUUAAAUUUCAGCUAUUUAGGUCCUGUGAGAGCGAAAGAAAUCGGCAGAAUUCAAUCCAGAUAAUGAACAGGAUCUGAGCUCAGCAAUUGGCAAAUUCAGCUGCAACUAAACCAUUCCGUGAGACAGUCUUCAUUGUGAGAAGAGAAAAAGCGGAGGAUUCAGUUGAUAUGCGGUGAGAGCGAAGAGGAGGUAGAGAGGGUACACGUGGCUGAUUAACCGGCCACUCAGCAUCAGUGGGAUCUCACUUACACUGCGAAGGUCUUACCGAAUCUAUGCGUUGUAGUUG